CUCGCCUCCUGCCUCCCCUGACCCCGCAGGGCUGACAGCCGUCAAGCUCAUCACCUCUGAGAUCAGAGAGACUGGGAAGUAGACACUAGCGCUGGUGAGCGGAGGAAACACACAGAAGAGCAAUUAAAGCGGCGCGGGGCGGUGCCCCAGACUCCUGAGAAUCCCGUCUAAGCCCUGGGGCAUUUUCAGAUCAGCCUGGGGCUUUGGGAAGACUCUGGUGGUGGAGAGGAGGUGGUGGUGCUGAAAAGUCAGGAUGAAAUUGGACUUGUCCGGGCGAGCGAGGACCGCGCUGGGCUAGACCAGACGCUUGGGAAGCCAAUGUCUUGGGGCUCGCUGGCUGGUGGUGGUUGGGGAGAGAACCGGGG
rnacentral:lncRNA from 1 species